CCGCUGCUUCGGCGGUGGCCAGAUGCGCUGCAACAGAGCCCUCAUCCCUCUCUCUCGUCUGCUCCAUGUAAGUCGCCUGAUUCCGGCGAGCCCCGACAUCUCCGCCACCGCGCAGCACAGCGCUGAGCUCGCCUCGGUCCGCUGCGUCCUCUCCUCCUGCCGGAUUUGCCGCUCAUGGCCCCCACCCGUGACCCUGCCCCGUGGUUAGGGUUUCGGGUGUUGGCUCCAACGCCGGCGGCUAUGUCUGGUGAUUUCAUCCCCUCCCCUCCUUCCUCCUCCUCACCUCUCUCUUCCUCUCUCUAUCUCUUGUUCUGUAGCAGCAAAGGACGAGUUGGCUGAGGGGAUGAUCAUGGUGGCGGCCAGAUCCGCCAAGGCUAUAGCAACUGCCACCUCUCAACUGAUUUUGGGUGUGCAAGAGGUUCAAGGAAUUGGGAAAGAUAAUGCAGAGGGUUGGAAGUAAAUUGCAGUGUCUCUGAUAGCACCAAUUGCCAUUUACGGAUCCAAGGCUCGUCGACGGGGCAGUGCAAGGCGUAACUCCGACGUGGUUCCUCGCUGGUUUGAUGGUGUUCAGGCGCAACCCGGUGCCCACCGAGUACUGCCUCGGCUACAACCUCCCUUGGUGAGCUCCAUCUUCCUCCUGCUCAUCUGCUUCGGCUACUGCAUUGGACAUGGCCGUGCCUAUAUUGAUGUGGUGCUCGUCUGGUUGAUGCUCUAUUCCCUGCUCAUGCAUCGGUUCCUACUUGAGCUCUUUAGUCAUAGAUGCAUGCUAUUCUAGGGUUUGCCGGCUGAGUUCAUGUUUGGUUUCUAUCAUAGGAGUUCCUGCGAUGAUCUGGUUUACAUGUGGAUGCUCUGGUUGUAUAGCUAUGCUCCUGGAUUUGCUAAAUUGAUCAGUAGUGUUCGUGCUAGGGCAAUGAUGAUUAACCUUGACUGAAAUAAGUGUGCCUUUGAGCAAUCGAGGCACCCGUGGGUAUCAAGCUGGAUCCUCCCUCUUGUCUCUAGAGUCCUUUUUCAUCCUGUGAUACUUGUUGUUCUAUCCUUGGAUGGUCAUUCUUGUUGAGUGAUAACCAGGGCAGCUCCACUGUAUAUGAUAAGAGAUGAUGGGGGUAGCUUAUAUGAUCGAGGAAAGGCGAAUCUGAGCCCACUAUAUCCAGAAUCAAGAGACGGGAGGAGCACCGGGCGUUCUCAGAGUUUAGCGACUCUCGGCCAUCCGAUCGACUCCUUGAUGCGUUUUCGGCCGUAGGAUCUCGCUCCCGAUCGAUCUCGUCCGUCAGAUCGAAACUGAGACCGUUUAUGUGCCCCGGUCGUGCGCGCCUUGCGCGAAUAGCCUGCCCAGCCGAGGGCAUUUUCGUCAUUUCACGCUUAUGCGUAUAAAAGGCGGCCGCUCCCGUGGAGAUGACCUAGCCGCCUCUAUCCUCGGCUAUAGCCUCCCUUGGGGAGCUCCAUCUUCCUCCUGCUCCUCUGCUUCGCCUACUGUGUGGCACAUGCCCGUGGCUGUGGUGCUCGUCUGGUUGAUGCUCUAUGCCCUACUCAUGCAUCGGUUCCUACUUGAGUUCUGUAGUUGUGGAUCCAUGCUAUUUUAGGUUUUGCAGGCUGUUGUUCAUGUUUAGUUGCUAUCAUAGGAGCUCAUGUGAUGCUCUGGUUUACAUGUGGAUGCCCUGGUCCAAUAGCUAUGCUCCUGGAUUUGCUAAAUUGAUCAGUGGCGUUUGUGCUAGGGCGAUGAUCAUUAACCGUGGCUGAAAUAAGUGUGCCUUUGAGCAAUCCAUACACUUGUGGGUAUCAAGUUGGAUCCUCCCUCUUGUCUCUAGAAUCCGUUUUGAUCUUGUGAUACUUAUUGUUCUGUCCUAGGAUGGUCAUUCUUGUUGGGUGAUAACCAGGGCAGCUCCAUUGUAUAAACAGAUUGAUCUGUGAUAAGAGAUGACGGGGGUAGGUUAUAUGAUCGAGGAAAGCCGAAUCUGAGCCCACUAUGCAAUGAACCCUGAACUAUUUUUAUUUGUAUUUAAAUGUGUUACUUAUUUAUGCUCCGAUGGCUUUCGUGCUGGGGCGAUGAUGAUUAGCCAUGUAUGAAAUAAGUGUGCCUUCGAGCAAUCGAGGCACCUGUGGGUAUCAAGUUGAAUCCUCCCUCUUGUCUCUAGAAUCCUUUUUGAUCCUAUGAUACUUGUUGCUCUGUCCUUGGAUGGUCAUUCUUGUUGAGUGAUAACCAGGGGAGCUCCACUGUAUAAACAGAUUGAUCUGGUGAUAAGAGACGGGGUAGGUUAUAUGAUCGAGGAAAGUCAGAUCUGAGCCCACUAUGCAAUGAACCCUAGAUCCUUUUUAUUUGUAUUUAAAGGUAUUGCUUAUUUAUGCUCCGGUGUUUAUAGUCGUCUUAUGUAAAGAUUUCUUCUCUCUCAUACCUUUAUUGCAUAUGAGUUGUUCUUGAUCUUUUAUUGUUUGUUGUUGGUCCUUGAUUUAAUCUGGUCAAGAGUAAGAUGCACUUUGUUAUACUAGAAAGACAUGCUCCCAGCAAGUUAUAGGGGCCUCUCUUGCUGCCUUAAGUUUGUAUGGUAAAGUAUGCAUCAUGUGUGCCUCUGUUUUGUUUCCGUCUUGUAUUCCUAUGUCUUGCUUCACAUAUCAUGGCACUUGAUAUAUGCAUGGUUGUUGGCGAUCGGACGCCACCACCGCCGCCGAUGCCAUCGUGGUUCUUGCCGCCAUCAAACAUUAAGUAAGUCGUGACCUUCUCUUUUUUUGCUUAGUGAUAUGCGCAUGGUUGCAACUACUCUACUGAUUACAAAAGAAACAUGAGCAUGGCAGACAUUGAUUACAAAAGUUGUCUUCGUUCUUUCAUGUGGAAGUCAGUGGCAGUACCUUGCGAGUUAAAUUACCUUCUUUCCUAUUAGAAAGCAGUGUAUGCUCUCUAGCUACUUAAUGUUUUCUUUCUUGGCUGUAGUUUAUUUCAUAUUUGUAGUUUCAAAAUGAUAUGUCAAACAUGCUCUAAUUUUUCAUGCCAUUAGUGAUUUCGGCUCAUAUUACUUCCUCUAUGUUUAUGGUUGGGUAGUGGUGCUUUACUGAUUAGGUAUUCUCAAUCAUGUAUCAUAUCUACGUUCAAAAAUAUGUUGGAGUUAGUAGCUGUGACCGUAGUUCGGCCUGCAAUUCUUGUUGGCUAUGCUGAUGGCCCUACCGCUGUGAUUGACACCGAUGUCCUUCUGUAGUGACAGAUGUUGCACGCCAGAUAGGUCUCCACGGCGUGCAAUAUUUAGUUUUAGCUUUAUUGUGUGAGUUUUUUGUGUUUUUCUGGUUUUCCAUUGGUCCUAAAUUGUACAUCGAAAUCAGUGUAGAUGUAUUAAGAGAGAUGAGCUACUAUGUAGGCAUUAUUUGUUUUUGUUAUGUACCUGGUUACUUAAUAAUCGUUCUUAAUAUUCAAAAGGGACAGAAAUAAGCUGAGUAUUUGAUCUGACUUGGUAGUGUUUGCCGGUUAACACAUCUAUGUCAUUAGACCAGUUCUUUUUUCUUCUCACAGUUUGUCAUUUAGAAUGAUUUUUUAGAGGAACCAGGAACUGGUUCCUGAUUCACUUUGUCCUGUUUGUUGAUGAUCCUUUUCUUCCUAUGGUUAUGCAGGCUUGAGUCUCAGUUUGAUCUUACGGUUCUACGGCUCAAAGGUUGAUGACUGCCAUGAGGCACUACCCAGUUAAAUCUUCGUCCAAGCUGACAACAAUCCUCUUGGUCUUAAAAAUUUUGUCGAGGCGGCAGGGAUCAAAGAAUAACAGAUCUGGGUCUUCGCCUUCCAAGAUUAGAAGGGGGAAACCAUCGCUCACUGUCCAUAUGCUUUAAAAGCAAAUCUCAAGUGCAUUGCUUAUACAAAAUAAUUUUGUGGUCAUCUAUCUCACAAACUAUUCACAGCAAGUUCAUAUGCAAUGGCACUCACGGAGGCAAUUGAACCAAGCUAUCUAUUGUAUGCCUAACUAUGGCUUUGUAGUUUUAUCGCCUCCAUUGCCAUUGUUGUCUUUUUCUCUCUUAUGUUUCUGCUCAUAUUACUGAACUUAAUGUUAGCUAAUUAGUUUUCUAUUCGUAUGACCGUAGUGGAUGCUGCCUUGCUUCUGGCACGGGUUAACUUUGAUAGUCUCAUGCCCAUGUUUAACUUGAUGAUGUUACUCUUCUGACACAUAUUGAAUGUUUCUUCUUA